GCGGGUAUCGUAUAAUGGUUUAUUAUAAUAGCCUUCCAAGCUGUGGAUAGGGGUUCGAUUCCCCUUACCCGCU
rnacentral:tRNA from 3 species